rnacentral:rRNA from 2 species
CUAUACUGCAAGUCGAGCGGACUUAAAAAGCUUGCUUUUUAAGUUAGCGGCGGACGGGUGAGUAACACGUGGGCAACCUGCCUGUAAGACUGGGAUAACUUCGGGAAACCGGAGCUAAUACCGGAUAAUCCUUUCCUACUCAUGUAGGAAAGCUGAAAGACGGUUUACGCUGUCACUUACAGAUGGGCCCGCGGCGCAUUAGCUAGUUGGUGAGGUAACGGCUCACCAAGGCGACGAUGCGUAGCCGACCUGAGAGGGUGAUCGGCCACACUGGGACUGAGACACGGCCCAGACUCCUACGGGAGGCAGCAGUAGGGAAUCUUCCGCAAUGGACGAAAGUCUGACGGAGCAACGCCGCGUGAGUGAUGAAGGUUUUCGGAUCGUAAAACUCUGUUGUUAGGGAAGAACAAGUACGAGAGUAACUGCUCGUACCUUGACGGUACCUAACCAGAAAGCCACGGCUAACUACGUGCCAGCAGCCGCGGUAAUACGUAGGUGGCAAGCGUUGUCCGGAAUUAUUGGGCGUAAAGCGCGCGCAGGCGGUCCUUUAAGUCUGAUGUGAAAGCCCACGGCUCAACCGUGGAGGGUCAUUGGAAACUGGGGGACUUGAGUGCAGAAGAGAAGAGUGGAAUUCCACGUGUAGCGGUGAAAUGCGUAGAGAUGUGGAGGAACACCAGUGGCGAAGGCGACUCUUUGGUCUGUAACUGACGCUGAAGCGCGAAAGCGUGGGGAGCAAACAGGAUUAGAUACCCUGGUAGUUCCACGCCCU